GCGGAUUUAGCUCAUUUGGUAGUGCGCGACCUUGCCAAGGUCGAGGUGGCGGGUUCGAUCCCCGUAAUCCGCUCCA
rnacentral:tRNA from 1 species